rnacentral:rRNA from 1 species
AUUGAACGCUGGCGGCAGGCCUAACACAUGCAAGUCGAACGGUAACAGGAAGAAGCUUGCUUCUUUGCUGACGAGUGGCGGACGGGUGAGUAAUGUCUGGGACACUUCCUGAGGGAGGGGGAUAACUACUGGAAGCGAUAGCUAAUAACGCAUAACGUCGAAAGACAAAAGAGGGGGACCUUCGGGCCUCUUGCCAUCGGAUGUGCCCAGAUGGGAUUAGCUAGUAGGUGGGGUAACGGCUCACCUAGGCGACGAUCCCUAGCUGGUCUGAGAGGAUGACCAGCCACACUGGAACUGAGACACGGUCCAGACUCCUACGGGAGGCAGCAGUGGGGAAUAUUGCACAAUGGGCGCAAGCCUGAUGCAGCCAUGCCGCGUGUAUGAAGAAGGCCUUCGGGUUGUAAAGUACUUUCAGCGGGGAGGAAGGGUGUAAAGUUAAUACCUUUGCUCAUUGACGUUACCCGCAGAAGAAGCACCAGCUAACUCCGUG